rnacentral:misc_RNA from 1 species
CAACCCCUCAAGCCCUAGCUGCUUGGUGUUGGGGCGUAAUCUGUAGCGCUUUUACAGCGGCUGCAGGCCCCUAAUUUCAGUGGCGGCCCCGCCGAGGCCCCGAGCGCAGUAGUCUAUCUUCUCGUUCCAGGGUGCCGCGGUGGGCUCUCCUGCCGUAAAACCCCCACUAUUUACAA